GCCAUGGUCGUCUAGAGGUAAGAUUCGCCCUUCCCAAUCAUCUCACAGAAAGGAAAUAGGGUGCGACCGGGGUUCGAUUCCCCGCCAUGGCA